GGGGGUAGAUACCAUAUGUUAAGGAGUUUCUGUCUGUCAUAUGGCCCGAGACCACAAUUAAUUCCUCUAUCAGUUCUUUAUAACGUUUUGUCUCAUUAAAAAAAAAUAUUGUUGUCUUUUGUGUAUGUAAUGUACAGUACAAGUCCAAAAACAUAUCCACGUUUAAGAAAAAUUGCAUGUUAACAUCUUACAAAUUUGGCCAAUACACAUCCAUACCCCUAUAGGCAAGUCAAGAGAUGUUCCAAAAAAGUGUAAAUAUUACCUUUUUGCACCUGGCUUAAUCACUCUUUC
rnacentral:lncRNA from 1 species